UUGGUUCUUCUCUCUGCAAUUCGCUCACGCGUCGUCGCUUUCACAUACAAAACCCAUUGCCUCAUUCUCCACACCAUCACUCCUGGCGAUGAAUGACCAGCCUCCUUCCUCAUACGACUCCAUCUACGUCCCUCCCACCACCUCCUCUGCUCUGUCAUCACUAUCCCCAAUUAUACCUCCCCUGCAAUCGGCUCCAAGUUCCGCGAAACCAGACUGCUUCUGCCGCUGCUAUUCUCAAUCGGAGGAGCAGCACAAGUGGUGUUCUGGCGUACAACUAGACUCAACAGCAGCAGGCGCAGUUGCAAAAGCUCAAGCUUCAGCAGCCUUCUGCUUAAGACGACGUCGUUUCUGAAGAAGGCUCUGAUCGUGAAGCUGAGUUGUAGUCGCAUUCGUUGAGAUUUGUAUAUGUGAAUUGUGUGCUCGUGGAGUUGUUAAUUGGGAAAUCCUUGUGUUUACUAAGUGUGAAUUGGUAAUUGGGUUUCAAUUAAGAUGUAAAUAAAUGGAGUGGUACUAGAAGAGAAGCAGAUGAUGAACGGGUUCAAUAAUCUUGUUCCAAGACAAUUUAUAAAUAUGGGAAGGGCUGAGAAAAAUGAGCUUUCACAGUGUUCUCAUGAAGGCUGCAAAUCUCAAGAUUGUUCCGGGUCGCCCUUGCAAAACGACAUGGUCGAGUCCGUGGAGUGCUGCAAGAGUACUAAUAAUCAUGUUCACUAGGAUAUUAAUGGAAGAAGUAACACUGCUGGGGGAGAAGAUUGCCCUGACCAAGAAUUUAAUAGGUAGAUUUCUAAGAAGGUUCCCAAGUUGAUAAGCACUAGAGAAGUGGAUCAACCCUCAUCUGAAACCAUGUCCAUGAUUAAAAAAAGCUCGUGUUUCAGUUUGAGCAUGAUCUGAAGCUUUCAUGGUAUGAAUCUAGCUACCUUGACAUCUGCUUGACUAAUAUAUAGUGUGUAUCUACAUAUAAAAUGUUACUUCACUCGGGAAAUGUUUUCUCUAGGCUAUCUAAUUUGUCAAUUGUGUACUUAUUUCAUAGGUCAAGUUGAUAUAUAACAACAUUAAUCUGUAUUUCAACUUGAAUUUUAGUAGCGUGAUCAUGAAUUUCUUUUUCAA